rnacentral:rRNA from 1 species
AUUGAACGCUGGCGGCAUGCCUUACACAUGCAAGUCGAACGGUAACAGGUCUUCGGAUGCUGACGAGUGGCGAACGGGUGAGUAAUGCAUCGGAACGUGCCCAGUAGUGGGGGAUAGACCGGCGAAAGCCGGCUUAAUACCGCAUACGACGCGAGGGUGAAAGGGGGGGAUCGCAAGACCUCUCGCUAUUGGAGAGGCCGAUGUCAGAUUAGCUAGUUGGUGGGGUAAAGGCCUACCAAGGCAACGAUCUGUAGUUGGUCUGAGAGGACGACCAGCCACACUGGGACUGAGACACGGCCCAGACUCCUACGGGAGGCAGCAGUGGGGAAUUUUGGACAAUGGGCGCAAGCCUGAUCCAGCAAUGCCGCGUGCAGGAAGAAGGCCUUCGGGUUGUAAACUGCUUUUGUCAGGGAAGAAAUCUUCUGGGUUAAUACCUCGGGAGGAUGACGGUACCUGAAGAAUAAGCACCGGCUAACUACGUGCCAGCCGCCGCUGUAAAAC